ensembl:lncRNA novel transcript
GACAACUAGUGGGGAUGAGGAGCAGCGUGGACAGGCCCAAGGAGCUGGGGGACAGAUGGUGGUGACAGGGUCUCACUCUGGGGCCCAGGCUGGAGUGCGGUAUCAUGAUCACAACUCACUGCAGCCUCAACCUCCUGGGCUCAAAGAUGGCUCACAGAUGGCUGCUUUGAUGUUUACAAGGAGGUGUUGCGUCACAGGUUGGGAGGUCAUGAAUUAUGUCAUGCUCCAUGUGGGGGACAUGAAUUAUGUCAUGCUCCGUGUGGGGGACAUGAAUUAUGGACGGCAGUAAGGGAUUCCAGAGGCAGCUCACCAGUGGCCCACGGAGCCCUUCUCAGCUUGGCCUCCCCACCUCCCACCGUGGCCACCCCUCCUGCCCCUGCAGGCCUUCAUAACUGCGCAUCCAGGCAGCUUCCUUGCUGAAGCACCCUCUCCGCAGAACUCCUGCUCAUUCCUCAAGACCCAGCUCGACUGUCUGUCCUCUGUGACACGUCCUGAUUCCAGGCAGCAUGAGGGGCGUCCGCCACCCCACGUUGGUUCCUACAGCACACUGUGUCAGUGUGGCAUCAUCCAUCCAUGUCCCCAAUCAGGGUGUGGACAGGGCCUAUGCCUCAAGCAUCCUGGUUUCCCUGCCCCAUGCCCAGUGUUGGGCCUAAGGAAUAGCAGAGCUCAGUGGACUAUGUGCCUGACUGUGGGCAGAGACCCCGGUCUCUCCUGGGCACACUCAGCCUCGAGGCAGCAGCUCGGCUCCUGACUGAUGGAUUCAGGGGCAGGUGAUGGGUGUGAAGCAGUUUCCCCUGUCAGAUACCCGCUGUGCAUUUUUGGGAGGACCGUAACAGUGGAACUCCAGAGCUCUCCUGGGAAGAUGGCUGUGGUGGAAGGUGAGAGGACACUGGCCAGUUAGAAAAUGGAUAAAAGCAGGCCAGGUGUGGUGCAGUGGUUCACAUCUGUAACCCUGGCACUUUGGGAGGCCAAGGUGAGAGAAUUGCUUGAGAUCAGGAGUUCAAGACCAGCCUGGGCAACAGAGUGAGACCCUGUCUCUACAAAAAAAUUAAAAA